AGUUCGCGGCCCAUUAGCUAGUUGGCGGGGUAAAGGCCCACCAAGGCAACGAUGGGUAGCCGGCCUGAGAGGGUGAUCGGCCACAUUGGGACUGAGAUACGGCCCAGACUCCUACGGGAGGCAGCAGUAGGGAAUUUUGCGCAAUGGACGAAAGUCUGACGCAGCAACACCGUGUGAGGGAUGAAGCAUUUCGGUGUGUAAACCUCUGUCGAUGGUGAAUAAUGUUUCGGGGAGUGGAAAGCCUCGGAAUUGAAGGUAGCCAUGAAGGAAGCACCGGCUAACUCUGUGCCAGCAGCCGCGGUAAUACAGGGGGUGCAAGCGUUGUUCGGAAUCACUGGGCGUAAAGGGAGCGUAGGCGGAACUACAAGACAGAGGUUAAAUCUCCGGGCUCAACCUGGAACUUGCCUUUGUGACUGUGGUUCUUGAGUAUGGUAGAGGUUAGUGGAAUUUCCGGUGUAGCGGUGGAAUGCGUAGAGAUCGGAAAGAACACCAGAGGCGAAGGCGACUAACUGGACCAAUACUGACGCUGAGGCUCGAAAGCGUGGGGAGCAAACAGGAUUAGAUACCCUGGUAGUCCACGCUGUAAACGAUGAACACUAGAUGUCGGGAGGGGUUCCUUCCGGUGUCGUCGCUAACGCAGUAAGUGUUCCGCCUGGGGAGUACGCUCGCAAGGGUG
rnacentral:rRNA from 1 species